AAGGUCCUGCUGCGUGAGCCACUGACGUGUUUGGAACUGCAGCCGGCCCGGGUGCUGGCUGAGUGGUGGCCUGUGGUGAGUGGUCUCCGGCCCCUCCCUCCCUGGACAGCAGGCCCGGGACAGCACUGCGCCGAGGGCAGACCCUAGUUCGUGGCGCCAAACCCUCCGCGGCGCGGCAUGCUCCUGCCGCUACUCACGCCACGCGAUUCGUCCGGCCGGGGCAGCGGAAGGUGACCCCAUGCAGGUUUAUGGUGUGCUGUAUUUCUGUUUCCGGAUUUAACACUCACAGACCAGACUCUGAGAAGCCUGGGGGGCCUGGACUUGUUCAGUAACGUGCCCUUCCCCCACUGCGGAUCAAAGCUGCGAAGAGUGGGAAAUCAGGAACUUUUUUGUAAGAAGACAAGAUGCCCAUGGUCACUCGGCGGCUGAGAGAUCCUGACAUAAACCCUUGCUUGUCGGAAUCUGAUGCUUCUACCAGAUGCAUGGAUGAAAAUAACUAUGACAGGGAAAGGUGUUCCAGUUACUUCUUGAAGUACAAAAACUGCCGGCGAUUCUGGAAUUCUGUCAUGAUCCAAAGAAGACAAAAUGGAGUUCAGCCAUCUAUGCCUACAGCAGCAGAAAGAGACGAAAUUUUGGGAGCAAUGCAAAAGAUGCCCUACUGAAAACUGACUUUGGAGGAGCUCCGGUACGACCACGAGACUGUCUGGGGCCUGAUGCGAGUCUCGGUGGAGGGUCCUGAUGCAGACAAACUGCAAGGCUCUGGGGCCUUUAGUUGUGCUUGAGGAUGAUGAGCUCUGGCUGGAAGAGAUACGUGCCCCAUGUAGUCCAGGAGUUCACCAGCCUGUGAGGUCAAGUGAUGACAGACACAUCUUGAUGAGCUUCACCUCAUCUGGAAAGGAGUUCUUUAGGCCUGCACAGAGAUGGAAGGCUGCAAGCAGAACCAACACAAGAUCAGAAAGGAUCUGGUCCAGCUGUUCAGUUUUCCAGAUCCUCGAUGGUAUUAAAAAAGACUAUUCUUUGUCUCAUUGAAUUAGCAUCUUAGUUGCAAAUCAUUGAUUAUACAUGAAAGAUCCCUGAACCUAGGGAUGAGGUAUUCAUGUCUACUUGGGGGCUGACCACUCAACUAUUAUUGACCAGUGGGACUAAGAACUAACCUCUCAGGAGAUUGACCUGCUCAAUUAGAAGAUCCAUAUCAAAGCCAACAGACCAGUGAAUCGUCGAACAAAUCAGGAAGGAAAAUGUAAAAUUUCUAGACAAAUGAUGAUCAAAACAAAACGUACCAGAAACUUUGUGCCACACCUAAACUAGUUAGGAGAGGAAAGUUCACAACUCUGAGUCUUACAUUAAAAAAAAAUAAUAAAGUCAUCUCAUGAAAGUCUUAGAAAAACACGAAUGAUCCAAACCAAAAGCAUUUGGCAAAAAGAAACAACAAAGGUCAGGGCAGAGAUUAAUGACAGACUGAAAGAACAAUAUAUAAACUCAAACAGUUGGUUUUUUGGAAAGACAACCAAGAUUGACAAGCCUCUACUAAAUUUGAGAGAAGACCUCAGUUAGUAAAACAAGAGAUGAUAUAUAUCAGAGUCCAAUAGAUUCUGGAGAACUACUAGGAAUCCUUUGACAACUUUUUUUAAUUAGCUGAAAAGUCUAGAAGAAAUGAAUAUAUUCAUAAACACAUAUGAACUAUCAAACUUAGAAAGAUAUAAACAGUUUAAAUAGACCCAUAGCAAGCACUUAGGGUAAAGCAGUGUUUUAAAAAGCAUCACAAAAAGUCCCAGGACUGACAAAUGUAUCAAGUUGUACCAAACUUCUCAGGAAGAAGCUGAUGCCAUCACCCCUCAUGCUGUUUCACAAACAUGGGGAAGGAGUUGUCACCACUGCUGAACUUGCCACUGUUACAUUUCUCCAAGAUCCUGCUUUGUGAGGAAUGGGGCUGGUUCAGUUGAUAAUUUAAAUGUCAUAAUGUUAGACUUCAGGAAAUUUUUAUAUGUUAUCAACUAUUCAAAAGCAAUAUGUAUGCAUAUGUAUGUGUAAGCGUGUGUGUGCGUGUGUGAUUUUAUCACAUCCCUAUUCAUUUGCUAUAGCAGCAGCAUAUUACAGGUUCUCAGUGGAGCAGGAAGGAUGAUGUUCUAUGUCUGUCUUAUAUAAGAAUUCUUUUGAGAAACUACCAUGUUUGCAAAAUCCUGGAAGCCAUAAAUGUUUAAUAUUUUUCUAGUAUAUGACAAAUGACCAAAUGUUUGUGUUUGGGGUUGGCUAUAGUUUUUAGAAUUGAGAAAUGUACAUAUUCAAACAAUGUCAAAGGACUGACAACUCAAUGCAAUAGAUCUUUCUAGAAAUAGCUAAUGUCAAGAUUUUUCAAGAUUUCUUAUUCGCAAUCAGCAUUAUCAGUAUAUUUUCUUUGCACUAAAGGAACAUCAUAGUAUAUAUGCUCCAUUGUAGUUUGCUUUUUGCUUUUAACAGGCAUAGUUUGGAAUAAUUUGAAACAGGUGGUAGCAAUCAUUUUGGGGCUUGUUAUAUUUUACUUGUAAGAUAAUUUCUAAGAUUUGAAUUUUUACAUUAAAGAUUUCUGUAUUCCAAAUUUUGUAGAUACUGAUAACUCAAUUACCUUCUGAAAAGAAGCACAACAAUUUAAUUUUAACAAUAAAGACUGUGUCUUUUCCUGGCAUCUUCAGUCCCAACUUUAAAACUCUUUCAUCUUUACCAAUCAUGUGAGUGAAACCAGAACAAAUAAAUACAUUUCUUUUGUCCCUUUCUUUUAAGAUCCUAGCUGAAAAUUCAUUAGAAGUCGCUGGCUGUCUUUAGGAAAUUAUCUCGUCAUAAUUCUUUUGUAUACCCUUUUGCUUUUUGAAUGUUAAAUAAUUUUCUGUACAGUGUUUUAUGUUGCUAUGUAAUUAAAUAGAUUAUUUUACUU